AGUGAACGCUGGCGGUAGGCCUAACACAUGCAAGUCGAACGGCAGCACAGUAAGAGCUUGCUCUUACGGGUGGCGAGUGGCGGACGGGUGAGGAAUACAUCGGAAUCUACUUUUUCGGGGGGGAUAACGUAGGGAAACUUACGCUAAUACCGCAUACGACCUACGGGUGAAAGCAGGGGAUCUUCGGACCUUGCGCGAUUGAAUGAGCCGAUGUCGGAUUAGCUAGUUGGCGGGGUAAAGGCCCACCAAGGCGACGAUCCGUAGCUGGUCUGAGAGGAUGAUCAGCCACACUGGAACUGAGACACGGUCCAGACUCCUACGGGAGGCAGCAGUGGGGAAUAUUGGACAAUGGGCGAAAGCCUGAUCCAGACAUACCGCGUGGGUGAAGAAGGCCUUCGGGUUGUAAAGCCCUUUUGUUGGGAAAGAAAAGCAGCAGGUUAAUAACCCGCUGUUCUGACGGUACCCAAAGAAUAAGCACCGGCUAACUUCGUG
rnacentral:rRNA from 1 species